GAAUAUCCGAAUUGAGAAAUUCAAUACUGUUUUAGUUUUUAAACAAGAACAGUGUGCACUUUUCUCAUAGUAGGACAUUGCGAUCCAUUAGUGUCUCUUUGAGAUGGUUUAUCAAACGGCCCGCGUAGUCAGUUUAGCCUAUCUGCAAUAUUUACUAUUGUAUGGUUAAUGCUAUUGCGGUGACCUGGUAAACAGCUGAUGGAGCUUAAAAAUCAUGCAGCCAUGCAUAUGUAUCACGGUUCCGAUGUACUUCGGUAUGUUGGGAUGCAGUGAUCGCAUGUAUUUGAUUAGCAAUGCGAUAGAUUUGGGAUACCUU
rnacentral:rRNA from 1 species